rnacentral:rRNA from 1 species
GACGAACGCUGGCGGCGUGCUUAACACAUGCAAGUCGAACGGAAAGGCCCUGCUUUUGUGGGGUGCUCGAGUGGCGAAAGGGUGAGUAACACGUGAGUAACCUGCCCUUGACUUUGGGAUAACUUCAGGAAACUGGGGCUAAUACCGGAUAGGAGCUCCUGCUGCAUGGUGGGGGUUGGAAAGUUUCGGCGGUUGGGGAUGGACUCGCGGCUUAUCAGCUUGUUGGUGGGGUAGUGGCUUACCAAGGCUUUGACGGGUAGCCGGCCUGAGAGGGUGACCGGCCACAUUGGGACUGAGAUGCGGCCGAGACACCUACGGGAGGCAGCAGUGGGGAAUAUUGCACAAUGGGCGGAAGCCUGAUGAAGCAACGCCGCGUGCGGGAGGACGGCCUUCGGGUUGUAAACCGCUUUCGCCUGUGACGAAGCGUGAGUGACGGAAAUGGGUAAAGAAGCACCGGCGAACUACGU